GCUAGCCUCAAGUGAUGAUUAUUGGAGGUAGAGCACUGUUUGGACGAGGGGCCCCUCUCGGGUUACCGAAUUCAGACAAACUCCGAAUGCCAAUUAAUUUAACUUGGGAGUCAGAACAUGGGUGAUAAGGUCCGUGUUCGAAAGGGAAACAGCCCAGACCACCAGCUAAGGUCCCAAAAUAUAUGUUAAGUGGAAAAGGAUGUGGCGUUGCCCAGACAACUAGGAUGUUGGCUUAGAAGCAGCCAUCAUUUAAAGAGUGCGUAAUAGCUCACUAGUCGAGUGACACUGCGCCGAAAAUGUACCGGGGCUAAACAUAUUACCGAAGCUGUGGAUUGUCCUUUGGACAAUGGUAGGAGAGCGUUCUAAGGGCGUUGAAGCAUGAUCGUAAGGACAUGUGGAGCGCUUAGAAGUGAGAAUGCCGGUGUGAGUAGCGAAAGACGGGUGAGAAUCCCGUCCACCGAUUGACUAAGGUUUCCAGAGGAAGGCUCGUCCGCUCUGGGUUAGUCGGGUCCUAAGCUGAGGCCGACAGGCGUAGGCGAUGGAUAACAGGUUGAUAUUCCUGUACCACCUAUAAUCGUUUUA
rnacentral:rRNA from 1 species